AGUGAACGCUGGCGGUAGGCCUAACACAUGCAAGUCGAACGGCAGCACAGUAAGAGCUUGCUCUUACGGGUGGCGAGUGGCGGACGAGUGAGGAAUACAUCGGAAUCUACUUUUUCGUGGGGGAUAACGUAGGGAAACUUACGCUAAUACCGCAUACGACCUACGGGUGAAAGCAGGGGAUCUUCGGACCUUGCGCGAUUGAAUGAGCCGAAGUCGGAUUAGCUAGUUGGCGGGGUAAAGGCCCACCAAGGCGACGAUCCGUAGCUGGUCUGAGAGGAUGAUCAGCCACACUGGAACUGAGACACGGUCCAGACUCCUACGGGAGGCAGCAGUGGGGAAUAUUGGACAAUGGGCGCAAGCCUGAUCCAGCCAUACCGCGUGGGUGAAGAAGGCCUUCGGGUUGUAAAGCCCUUUUGUUGGGAAAGAAAAGCAGCAGGUUAAUACCCCGCUGUUCUGACGGUACCCAAAGAAUAAGCACCGGCUAACUUCGUG
rnacentral:rRNA from 1 species